rnacentral:rRNA from 1 species
GCGAAGUGACGGUACCUCAGGAAGAAUUCCGGCUAACUAUGUGCCAGCAGCCGCGGUAAUACAUAGGGUGCAAGCGUCGUCCGGAAUUACUGGGCGUAAAGAGCUCGUAGGUGGUUCGUUACGUCGGAUGUGAAAAUCAGGGGCUCAACCUCUGACCUGCAUUCGAUACGGGCGGACUGGAGUUUGGUAGGGGAGACUGGAAUUCCUGGUGUAGCGGUGAAAUGCGCAGAUAUCAGGAGGAACACCAAUGGCGAAGGCAGGUCUCUGGACCACUACUGACACUGAGGAGCGAAAGCGCGGGGAGCGAACAGGAUUAGAUACCCUAGUAGUCCGCGCCGUAAACGAUGGACGCUAGUUGUGGGGACCUUCCACGGUUUCUGUGACGCAGCUAACGCAUAAAGCGUCCCGCCUGGGGAGUACGAUCGCCAGAUCAAACCUCAACGGAAUCGACGGGGCCCCGUACAAGCAGCGGAGCAUGC